UUUGAAUUUAAUUCAAACUCAUCCACUGCUGAGCAGCAGUCCACCGCUCAACCGACUCAAUCCAACGCUAGGAGAGUUUCGGUCAGACUCUGACUCUUCCCCACGUGAGCAGCAAAAUUCCUAACCUUGCGUGCGCGAACCGCAGCUCGAACCCCAGACCUCCGUCCGCCUUCCGCCUUCGCCCAAGCUGCUGGCCACUGCACCACGCUGUCUUUUACUAGUAAAUGGUUACAUUUAAUUAUAAACCUUACCUGCUGAAGCUUUGGUCCGCUUAAAAAUAAAAGAGAAUUUCGCCAUCCACGCGACCUUCUAACCCCACACUCACGUUCCUUACCACUGCACCAAAGUUCCUAAUAAUAAUUAUAAUUUCCAUAACUCAAUAAAAAUAGAUACAGUAAAAUUUUCUAAUAAUAUGUUAAUUUAAACACUAAAUUAACAACAAUAAUUUUAUAAAUAUAUUUGUAUCUAAUAAUUAUAAUGAUAAUAAUUUUCAUAAAAAUUAAAAUAUUAGUAAUAACAUAAAUAUUUUAUCAAUAUAUAUAUAUUUUUAAACACUAGUAAUAUUUAAAACUUCUCAAUAUUCAGGUUUUCUUCUAUCCGAAUCCCAGACUCAAAGCCCAACUCUUCUAGGCCCAAUUUUUGGGGCGUUACAUGCACCUAAUAGUCAUUAUCAAUGGAGAGUAAUGCCAUUUGGAUUAUGUAAUGCACCUCAAAUCUUCCAAAGAUGGAUGGAUUCUAUAUUUAAUAAAUAUAAAAAAUUUUGUGUAGUUUAUAUAGACGAUAUAUUAAUAUUUUCAGAAACACUGGAAAAGCAUAGAAAACAUUUAAAUAUUAUCUCUCUAGAAUUCAUAAAACAUGAAAUUAUUUUAAGCCCUAAGAAAAUAGAAUUAGAAAAAACAGAAAUAGAAUUUUUAGGUUUAAAUCUAUCGGCUGAUGAUCUUAAACUACAAGAUCAUAUUAUAGUAAAAAUAAAAGAAUUUCCAGAAGAAAUUAAAAACCAAAAACAACUUCAACAAUUUUUAGGUAUAAUUAAUUAUGGAAGAAACUUCUUUCCUAAUUUAUCUAAAAAAAUAGGAGACUUAUAUGAAAAAUUAAAAAAGGAUAAAACUUUUAGCUGGUCUAAAGAAGACUCAGAAAUUAUUAAAAAUAUAAAAUCAGAAAUAAAUUAUACCCCAAAAGUCUAUUUACCAAAACAAGGUUAUAGAUUAAUCUUAGAAACCGAUGCAUCAGAAAAAUAUUGGGGAUGUAUUUUAAAAGCUAAAACAGCAAAAAACGAAGAACUAAUAUGUGGAUAUAGUUCUGGAAAAUUUAAAUCAAAUGAAGUUAAUUAUGCUAUAUAUGAAAAAGAAUUAUUAGCUAUUAAAAAGGCAAUAAAAACCUUUCUCAUAUAUUUAGCAUCUGAAAAUUUUAUUAUAAAAACUGACAACCAGGCAGUCAAACAAUUUCUGACUAAUAAUAGUCUAGAAAGUGUACUAAGAAGAAUUAGAUGGUAUAAUGAUUUAUGUAGUUUCAAUUUUGAAGUUUUAUAUGUCAAAGGUACUAAUAAUAUUAUUGCUGAUUAUCUUAGCAGGCCUUAUGGAUAGAGGUAAAAAACCUCUAGAACAAGUCGGGGAAUGGACUACUGUCCAUAAAAAACCCAACAAAGGAAAGCAGAUAAAUCCUAAUCAAGGAUUUACUCCCAAUCAGGGAUUUACUCCUAUAUUAACAGGAUUCUAUCCUAAUCAAGGAUAUUAUGUUCCUUAUCCAAUGGUAAGACAACCAACUGGAUCUCCUUCAUCAUAUGCAUCAAGAAUGGUAAACGAAUACCCUUCAAAAAGAAUAAUUCAAUCUCCUUGGUCUCAAGAUCCGAAUUCAGCAUAUCAAGCCAGUUAUUCUGAAGUUAUAAAAGGAGCAGAAAAUUUGUUGAAACAACAACAAAUUCCAGAAAUAAAAGAUUUUUAUAAUCCAGGAUUACCAAAUAAUAAGAACUUACAAAUGAGUAUUAUGAUAUGAAUUCCUCCAAGAACCGUAACUCG
rnacentral:lncRNA from 1 species